rnacentral:misc_RNA from 1 species
UAAUUGUGCCUUCCACCUUAAAAAGAUUCCUUUUUUACAACCCAAUUACUGUUGGAUUGCAAAGAAAACUUUCGAAAAAAGAAGAAAAUCAAUCAAUUCGAUUACAGAAAGAAUCGAUUUUUUGAAGAGAUCUGAGGGCUGUAAACAAGAAAAUCUAAGUGGGUUUGCGUCAGAUCCACUGUUUGAGCUCUCUCAGGGGGUCGUUUUUUUCAAA